GGCCUGACUUGAUGAGGACUUCGAGGUCGACGAGGCCGAGAGACAUGAGGCCAAGAGUGAGACCAGCCAUGAGACCAGCGAAGAUCACAAGUCCUAUGAUUAUCAGCACAUACAACGCGAACAUAGUCCCACAGCACGGUCGGCAGAAUAGCUGAUGAUGAAGACGGCAGAACAGACUAGAGCGGCGACGGCAGCGAUGAAGGGGCGGUGGUGGCCGAUGCAGGAGGUGUAGCGGUUGCUGUAAUAGCCGAGGACGGGAUAUGUAUUUAUAUAGGGGCUUUUUUGUCAUUUAAGAUUACAGAUAUUUUGUAUUAAACAAUUGAGGGUAAGAUGGUCAAUUUACAUGUAUCAGAAGUGUAAAAGAAAGUUAGGGUGUAAGUGAAAGUUAAAACUAAAAUUUUCAUCUACCUGAAAUAUGACCCAACCUCAAGGAGUGUUGAUGUAAUUUACCCUAAAAUUAAUUCACUGUCUUUGUCAAUUUUAUCAAA